CCUACGGGGAGCAGCAGUAGGGAAUCUUUCACAAUGGGCGAAAGCCUGAUGGAGCAACGCCGCGUGCAGGAUGAAGGCCUUCGGGUUGUAAACUGCUUUUAUAAGCGAGAAAUAUGAUGGUAACUUAUGAAUAAGGAUCGGCUAACUACGUGCCAGCAGCCGCGGUCAUACGUAGGAUCCGAGCAUUAUCCGGAGUGACUGGGUGUAAAGAGUUGCGUAGGUGGCAUAAUAAGUAGCUAGUGAAAUCUGGUGGCUCAACCAUUCAGACUAUUAGCUAAACUGUUAAGCUCGAGACCGUUAGGGGUAACUGGAAUUGCUAGUGUAGGAGUGAAAUCCGUAGAUAUUAGAAGGAACACCAAUAGCGUAGGCAGGUUGCUGGGACGGUUCUGACACUAAGGCACGAAAGCGUAGGGAGCAAACGGGAUUAGAUACCCUUGUAGUC
rnacentral:rRNA from 1 species